rnacentral:tRNA from 1 species
UCUUAGAUGACUGAGAGUAAGUGCUAGACUUUUAAUCUAGAGACAGCAGGUUCACACAUGCUUCUAAGAU